AUGGUCCACUGCCUUGCGGCACACCACCAUCAUUUCCAUGGCCUUCUCCUUCGCCUUCCUCCCUUCCUCGCCACCGCCCAUCAGGGACCUCACCGCUCGCUCCAGCUCCGCCGCCUCCACGAAGUUGUCCCGUUUCCUGUCCACCUUCAGCGGCACGGCCACGCCCAUGUCGCAGACCAACGUGAAGGCGUUGAAAUGCUGCUCCGCGCCCAGCGGCCAUGGCAGCAUCGGCACGCCGAACCACAGACUCUCCAGAAUGGAGUUCCAGCCGCAGUGGGUGACGAAGCCCCCCACGGAGGCGUGCGCCAGUAUCUCCUUCUGCGGCGCCCUCUUGGGCCACACGAGCCCUCUUUCCUUUGUCUCCCCCAAGAAACCCUCCGGGAGAAGCUCCGCCAGGUUCGCGUCGCUGGGGUCUUGUGCGCCGCGCGAGAUGUCCACCGGCAGCCCACGGAGCACCCACAGGAAGCGGUGGCCGCUGCGCUCCAGGCCCCGCGCUAUCUCGUGCGCCUGCGGCUUGGUCAGGAAUCCUUUGCUCCCGAAGCAGAGGAACAGCACGGACGCCGGAGGCUGCGCGUCGAGCCACCGCAGGCACUCGUGCGGCUGCUCCUCAGCCUCGGCGUGAGCGGGUGGCGUCAGCGCCAGCACUGGGCCGAUCGGGUACACGCCCGGGGCGCGGGCUCCACGUGUGCACCGACCUUCAGCGAUGGCUGCAAGGACGCGAGGCUCCAGCUCGGCUGCCGUGUUGACGAUGAUGCCGCUGGCUUCCACGUAGCGCCUGCCGGUGUACACGAACCACUUGUAGGUCGGACUCUUCCGUUCCAGCAAGGUCCCCGGGAGGACGGACGGCGGCACCGGCGGGAGGCCGGGCAAGUCGAGAGCACCUUCCAUCUCCUCGAACUCAACAACCACCUCGUCGUCCAGAGCGGGCGAGCGCAAGAGGAGCGACAGCAUCGCAGCGCUGGAGGUAAAGUACACGUACGCCGGCACGGCGAGCUCACGGGACACGUCUAG
rnacentral:rRNA from 1 species